UACGUAGGACGCAAGCGUUAUCCGGAAUUACUGGGCGUAAAGCGCGUGUAGGCGGCCUGCUAAGUCUGAUGUGAAAGCCCGAGGCUCACCCUCGGAAGUGCAUUGGAAACUGGCAGACUGGAGUCCCGGAGAGGAGGGUGGAAUUCCUGGUGUAGCGGUGAAAUGCGUAGAUAUCAGGAGGAACACCGGUGGCGAAGGCGGCCCUCUGGACGGUGACUGACGCUGAGACGCGAAAGCGUGGGGAGCAAACAGG
rnacentral:rRNA from 1 species